rnacentral:rRNA from 1 species
AUUGAACGCUGGCGGCAUGCUGUACACAUGCAAGUCGGGCGAGUGGCGAACGGAUGAGUAACGCAUCGGAACGUCCCGAGUACUGGGGGAUAACUGUCCGAAAGGACAGCUAAUACCGCAUAUUAUUCGAGCGGCCGAGGUCUGAUUAGCUGGUUGGCGGGGUAAAGGCCCACCAAGGCGACGAUCAGUAGCGGGUCUGCGAGGAGGAUUCCGCACACUGGGACUGAGACACGGCCCAGACUCAUACGGGAGGAAGCAGGGGGGAAUUUGGGACAAGGGGUGCAAGCCUGAUGCAGCCAUGCCGCGUGUCCGAAGAAGGCCUGCGGGUUCUAAAGGACUUUUGUCAGGGAAGCGGUACCUGAAGAAUAAGCACCGGCUAACUACGUGCCAGCAGCCGCGUAAUAC